ACCAGACUCCUACGGGAGGCAGCAGUGGGGAAUAUUGCACAAUGGGGGAAACCCUGAUGCAGCGACGCCGCGUGAGUGAAGAAGUAUUUCGGUAUGUAAAGCUCUAUCAGCAGGAACGAGACAAGACGGUACCUGACUAAGAAGCCCCGGCUAACUACGUGCCAGCAGCCGCGGUAAUACGUAGGGGGCAAGCGUUAUCCGGAAUCACUGGGUGUAAAGGGAGCGUAGACGGCUGUGCAAGCCUGAAGUGAAAGGCGGGGGCCCAACCCCUGGACUGCUUUGGGAACUGUACGGCUGGAGUGCAGGAGAGGUAAGUGGAAUUCCUAGUGUAGCGGUGAAAUGCGUAGAUAUUAGGAGGAACACCAGUGGCGAAGGCGGCUUACUGGACUGUAACUGACGUUGAGGCUCGAAAGCGUGGGGAGCAAACAGGAUUAGAUACCCCUGUAG
rnacentral:rRNA from 1 species